UUAUCGGGUUCUCAAACGGCGGAACUGGCGGGGAAGGGGGAGCCGCCUUGCCUUCGGCCGGGCCGCACCAAGGCAAGCAGCACUUCCAAACCCCGACCAGCGUGGCGAGUUACUCACCCCUCAA